GCCUCCCUCGAUGGAUAAGUAGGACCCCCCUCCACCCCCUCCUAACCCAAGUGCCAACCACCCCUCCCUCACUCCCCUUCGCUCUCUCCCGAGCGCAUCUGGCGCCACGCCGCUGUCGACCGCGAGGCUAGGAACCUCCCCGUGCCGCCUGGGGAUGGCCGGGGGGAUCGCCGCCUUCUUCUUCAUCUUCUCCGAUGCCCAGGGACAAGCCGGACUGCUCUGUAGCUCGCCAUCGUUGCCGUCUUCCCCUGCUUGCGCGCUCCUUUGCCCCGCCUCGUCCUCGAUGCUCCGGUCCAGCCUCGGCCUCCCCGACGUCGCCAUCGGCCUCGUUACCCUGAGACCGUUGCUGACACCCCGUGAUCGGCUACAUCGACGACGACCCCUCCUUGCCAGAGCAACAGUUGUUGGAGCCCAGGAGCUAGACACCACCGUUGACAACGACCCCUACUACAUCGAGGGUGCCUACUACUACGUGCAGGCCGACGACGACCAGGAGUAGUUUAGGAGGACCCCAGGCAGGAGGCAUGCUCCUCUUUCAAUCUGUAACCCAGUUUGUGCUAGCCAUCUUAUGACAACUUGUUUAACUUAUGUCUGUACUCCGAUAUUGUUGCUUCCGCUGACUCGUUUAUGUUCGAGCACUUGUAUUCGAACCCUCGAGGCCCCUGGCUGGUAAUAUGAUGCUUGUAUGACUUAUUUUACUUUUA
rnacentral:rRNA from 1 species